CAUUAUCGAAAUAGAACCUCCGGAAGGGGGAGGGAGAGAGUCCUCGCGUCGCUCUCUCGAACCUUUCCCCGAGGCUUUCGGCCCUCUAACACCCGUGUGCACCCACUGUAGGUCCUUAGGGACCUAUGUCUUCUUUGAACUCGCAUGUCUACAGAACGUCGUCCGUGGCCUCGGCCACAGUGAACCUUAGUACAACUUUCAGCAAUGGAUCUCUUGGCUCUCGCAUCGAUGAAGGACGCAGCGAAUCGCGAUAAGUAAUGUGAAUUGCAGAUUUUCCGUGAAUCAUCGAAUCUUUGAACGCACCUUGCGCWCCUUGGUAUUCCGAGGAGCAUGCCUGUUCGAGUGUCAUCGAAAUAUCGAAUCGAAGCUUUCGACCUCGUCGGAGCUCGGUUCGGAUAUGGGAGUCUGCGGGCGAACCUUCUGUCGGGGAGGGUCGUCGGCUCUCCUCAAAAGCAUUAGUGUCGGGUGCGAGCCUCGCAUGGCCACGGCCUCUUCGACGUCAUAAUGACCGUCGUGGGCUGGAAGUGCGUGGAUCGAAGACGCCCGUCGCUUUCCAACUCUGCGAGCCCCGGUCCGUCCGGCCGCGUGUCGAUCGAAGCUUGACCUCGAAUCAGGUAGGACUACCCGCUGAACUUAAGC
rnacentral:rRNA from 1 species